UACGUAGGGUGCGAGCGUUGUCCGGAUUUAUUGGGCGUAAAGAGCUCGUAGGCGGUUUGUCGCGUCGGCCGUGAAAUCUCCACGCUUAACGUGGAGCGUGCGGUCGAUACGGGCAGACUUGAGUUCGGUAGGGGAGACUGGAAUUCCUGGUGUAGCGGUGAAAUGCGCAGAUAUCAGGAGGAACACCGGUGGCGAAGGCGGGUCUCUGGGCCGAUACUGACGUGAGGUACGAA
rnacentral:rRNA from 1 species